rnacentral:lncRNA from 1 species
AUCGUUGAAUCUUGAGGGGAGUAUUUUUCGUUUGAAGUUGGUGCCUUUCUUGGUUCCUUCUGUUAUCUGUUCGAGCGCAGGAGCAAUCGACCGGCAGCUUCGCACGGACGCGGGGCAGGCCAGCUCAUCGGGCCAGGCCAGCAGCAGCGAGCCCAGCUAGUGGCAGCAGGCUGCCCAGCAGCAGCACGCCCUGCUUGUGCUUCGCAGGCCAGGCCAGCAGGCCAACAGUAGCAGGCCUGGCGAGCACCGCAGCUCAACCUGGUGGCCAGCGGCCCAGCACGCACGUGUGAGAGCAGGCGGAGACACAAGCACUCUAUAGCCAGGAGCACCCACGUGUGGCCUAAGGAGAAUCAACCCAUCAUUUCCAGCUGGCCCAUCGAGGUUCGGUCUAGUGCUUUUAAUUCGUGCUAAGUUAAUUAUUGCUAGAUAAUCUGUGCAACCUUGUUCAAUUGUUUUGUCAUUCGCUAAUCAUGCUUAGUUCUUAAUUAAUUAUUUCAAGCAUUUUUAGUC